CACUUUCAGUUCCCUUCUCGACUCCUCUUCCGUAUGCAUAAUCGUAUAAACUGAUAAGUACACACAUAUUUGAUAACCCUCUCCAUAUAUACAGAGUGCGUAUAGUACACGUACGGAUUCGUGGGUUUAGGUUAGAAGUGGUUUUGGAGAGACAAUGGAGGGAAGAACGGAAAAGGCUUCCUCUUCUUCUUCCUCGUUAACCUCUGAGCUUUUUGGUUCCAAAGUAAAUCCUUUGCCUUCCUCGUCCUCUUUCAGAUCCAUUUUCCCCCCUCCUUCUAAGGUUAUGGGAAGAGAAUCUAUGCAACAAGACACUGUGACUGCUGGCUGGAAUGAGAAAUCCUCCAAGAUUGGUGAUGAUGUUGAUAGACAGAGAGAAGAACAAGAUAACCUUGGUUCAGUUUAUCAGGAUCAGAGAGUGCAACCUUGUCAUCUGAGUUCUUCCAUCUAUUAUGGUGGCCCCGAUGUUUAUUUCCAGUCUCAGGAUUCGAGCUCAAACUCUACGGAGAACAAGAGAGAGGGGGGCGGAGAUGAUUCAGGAAGUGCUUCAAGAGGAAAUUGGUGGAAAGGAACUCUGUAUUAUUGAGUAGAGAUCUCUUUUGCUACUUAUGCCAAUGUUAUACUACAAAAACAAGGUCUUUUAGGUUGAGGUUCUUAACGUAAUAUAAGACACGGUCUCUUAGCUUUUAACUAAAAAAGGUACAUAUAGGACCAAAAAAAUAGAGUCCCCUUGGAGUGGAUCAGUACGUUUUAGUAACUUCUCAUCUUAUUAUUACAACAAGUAUGGAAGAAGUUUGAAGGUAGCUGCUACAAAAGAACAGGGGAGUUUUGGUCCUUGUGUUCUUGUCGUGGUUUAGUAAUUUACCCGGUUGGAUUUCUAUUUUCCUUAAACGUACCUAUAGAUAAACCGUUUAUGAUUUUGUAUAAUCUAUACUAUUAUUUAUGAAAUGAUUUUGCUUAC